CUGCUUAACACAAGUUGAGUAGGGAAAGUUUUUCGGUGUAGGAUGAGACUAUAUAGUAUCAGCUAGUUGGUAAGGUAAUGGCUUACCAAGGCUAUGACGCUUAACUGGUCUGAGAGGAUGAUCAGUCACACUGGAACUGAGACACGGUCCAGACUCCUACGGGAGGCAGCAGUAGGGAAUAUUGCGCAAUGGGGGAAACCCUGACGCAGCAACGCCGCGUGGAGGAUGACACUUUUCGGAGCGUAAACUCCUUUUCUUAGGGAAGAAUUCUGACGGUACCUAAGGAAUAAGCACCGGCUAACUCCGUGCCAGCAGCCGCGGUAAUACGGAGGGUGCAAGCGUUACUCGGAAUCACUGGGCGUAAAGGGCGCGUAGGCGGAUUAUCAAGUCUCUUGUGAAAUCUAAUGGCUUAACCAUUAAACUGCUUGGGAAACUGAUAGUCUAGAGUGAGGGAGAGGCAGAUGGAAUUGGUGGUGUAGGGGUAAAAUCCGUAGAUAUCACCAAGAAUACCCAUUGCGAAGGCGAUCUGCUGGAACUCAACUGACGCUAAGGCGCGAAAGCGUGGGGAGCAAACAGGAUUAGAUACCCUGGUAGUCCACGCCCUAAACGAUGUACACUAGUUGUUGGGGUGCUAGUCAUCUCAGUAAUGCAGCUAACGCAUUAAGUGUACCGCCUGGGGAGUACGGUCGCAAGAUUAAAACUCAAAGGAAUAGACGGGGACCCGCACAAGCGGUGGAGCAUGUGGUUUAAUUCGAAGAUACGCGAAGAACCUUACCUGGGCUUGAUAUCCUAAGAACCUUUUAGAGAUAAGAGGGUGCUAGCUUGCUAGAACUUAGAGACAGGUGCUGCACGGCUGUCGUCAGCUCGUGUCGUGAGAUGUUGGGUUAAGUCCCGCAACGAGCGCAACCCACGUAUUUAGUUGCUAACGGUUCGGCCGAGCACUCUAAAUAGACUGCCUUCGUAAGGAGGAGGAAGGUGUGGACGACGUCAAGUCAUCAUGGCCCUUAUGCCCAGGGCGACACACGUGCUACAAUGGCAUAUACAAUGAGACGCAAUACCGCGAGGUGGAGCAAAUCUAUAAAAUAUGUCCCAGUUCGGAUUGUUCUCUGCAACUCGAGAGCAUGAAGCCGGAAUCGCUAGUAAUCGUAGAUCAGCCAUGCUACGGUGAAUACGUUCCCGGGUCUUGUACUCACCGCCCGUCACACCAUGGGAGUUGAUUUCACUCGAAGCCGGAAUACUAAACUAGUUACCGUCCACAGUGGAAUCAGCGACUGGGGUGAAGUCGUAACAAGGUAACCGUAGGAGAACCUGCGGUUGGAUCACCUCCUUUCUA
rnacentral:rRNA from 1 species